rnacentral:rRNA from 1 species
AUUGAACGCUGGCGGCAUGCCUUACACAUGCAAGUCGAACGGCAGCACGGGUGCUUGCACCUGGUGGCGAGUGGCGAACGGGUGAGUAAUACAUCGGAACAUGUCCUAUAGUGGGGGAUAGCCCGGCGAAAGCCGGCUUAAUACCGCAUACGAUCUACGGAUGAAAGCGGGGGACCUUCGGGCCUCGCGCUAUAGGGUUGGCCGAUGGCUGAUUAGCUAGUUGGUGGGGUAAAGGCCUACCAAGGCGACGAUCAGUAGAUGGUCUGAGAGGACGACCAGCCACACUGGGACUGAGACACGGCCCAGACUCCUACGGGAGGCAGCAGUGGGGAAUUUUGGACAAUGGGCGAAAGCCUGAUCCAGCAAUGCCGCGUGUGUGAAGAAGGCCUUCGGGUUGUAAAGCACUUUUGUCCGGAAAGAAAUCCUUGGCUCUAAUACAGUCGGGGGAUGACGGUACCGGAAGAAUAAGCACCGGCUAACUACGUG